rnacentral:rRNA from 1 species
AUGCAAGUCGAGCGGCAGCGACAACAUUGAACCUUCGGGGGAUUUGUUGGGCGGCGAGCGGCGGACGGGUGAGUAAUGCCUAGGAAAUUGCCCUGAUGUGGGGGGAUAACCAUUGGAAACGAUGGCUAAUACCGCAUGAUGCCUUCGGGCCAAAGAGGGGGACCUUCGGGCCUCUCGCGUCAGGAUAUGCCUAGGUGGGAUUAGCUAGUUGGUGAGGUAAGGGCUCACCAAGGCGACGAUCCCUAGCUGGUCUGAGAGGAUGAUCAGCCACACUGGAACUGAGACACGGUCCAGACUCCUACGGGAGGCAGCAGUGGGGAAUAUUGCACAAUGGGCGCAAGCCUGAUGCAGCCAUGCCGCGUGUGUGAAGAAGGCCUUCGGGUUGUAAAGCACUUUCAGUAGGGAGGAAGGCAGUGUCGUUAAUAGCGGCAUUGUUUGACGUUACCUACAGAAGAAGCACCGGCUAACUCCGUGCCAGCAGCCGCGGUAAUACGGAGGGUGCGAGCGUUAAUCGGAAUUACUGGGCGUAAAGCGCAUGCAGGUGGUUUGUUAAGUCAGAUGUGAAAGCCCAGGGCUCAACCUUGGAAUUGCAUUUGAAACUGGCAAACUAGAGUACUGUAGAGGGGGGUAGAAUUUCAGGUGUAGCGGUGAAAUGCGUAGAGAUCUGAAGGAAUACCGGUGGCGAAGGCGGCCCCCUGGACAGAUACUGACACUCAGAUGCGAAAGCGUGGGGAGCAAACAGGAUUAGAUACCCUGGUAGUCCACGCCGUAAACGAUGUCUACUUGGAGGUUGUGGCCUUGAGCCGUGGCUUUCGGAGCUAACGCGUUAAGUAGACCGCCUGGGGAGUACGGUCGCAAGAUUAAAACUCAAAUGAAUUGACGGGGGCCCGCACAAGCGGUGGAGCAUGUGGUUUAAUUCGAUGCAACGCGAAGAACCUUACCUACUCUUGACAUCUACAGAAGCUUGCGGAGACGCGAGUGUGCCUUCGGGAACUGUAAGACAGGUGCUGCAUGGCUGUCGUCAGCUCGUGUUGUGAAAUGUUGGGUUAAGUCCCGCAACGAGCGCAACCCUUAUCCUUGUUUGCCAGCGAGUAAUGUCGGGAACUCCAGGGAGACUGCCGGUGAUAAACCGGAGGAAGGUGGGGACGACGUCAAGUCAUCAUGGCCCUUACGAGUAGGGCUACACACGUGCUACAAUGGCGCAUACAGAGGGCAGCCAACUUGCGAAAGUGAGCGAAUCCCAAAAAGUGCGUCGUAGUCCGGAUUGGAGUCUGCAACUCGACUCCAUGAAGUCGGAAUCGCUAGUAAUCGUGGAUCAGAAUGCCACGGUGAAUACGUUCCCGGGCCUUGUACACACCGCCCGUCACACCAUGGGAGUGGGCUGCAAAAGAAGUAGGUAGUUUAACCCUUCGGGGAGGACGCUACC